AUGGAAGAGACAUUUGUUCCGUUUUGUGAAAUUAAAAAUGAUCUUCAAGGGAGAUUGAUGUGUUACAAGCAAGACUGGAUUGGUGGUCUCACGGCAGGCUUCAGGAUGUUAGCCCCUACCACGUAUAUUUUCUUUGCAUAAGCAAUUCCUGUUAUUUCAUUUGGAGAACAGUUGGAAAGAGACACGGAUGGAGUACUCACUGCAGUGCAAACAUUAGCAUCUACUGCACUGUUUGGAAUUAUACACUCUAUUAUAGGAGGCCAGCCUUUGCUGAUUCUUGGAGUAGCAGAACCAACUGUAAUUAUGUAUACAUUCAUGUUUAACUUUGCUACAAGUAGACCAGAAUUGGGUUCGAAACUCUUUCUAGCAUUGACUGGAUGGGUAUGCAUGUGGACUGCCAUCUUGUUGUUCCUACUGGCUAUCUUAGGAGCUUGUUCCAUCAUCAACAGGUUCACUCGCCUAGCAGGGGAACUGUUUGGCCUUCUUAUUGCAAUGCUUUUCAUGCAAGAGGCUAUUAGAGGACUCAUUCAUGAGUUUCACAUACCUGAGAGGGCAAACCUAACAUCACCUGAGUUUCAAUCUUCGUGGAGAUUUGGAAAUGGCAUGUUUUCUUUGGUUCUGUACUUUGGCCUCCUGCAUACAGCAUUGAGAAGCCGAAAAGCAAGGUCUCGGUGAUAUGUAUCAGGAUGUUUACGAGGCUUCAUAGCAGAUUAUGGUGUCCCAUUGAUGGUUUUGUUGUGGACUGCCAUUUCUUAUAUUUCAGCUGGAAGUAUUCCAAAAGGAAUCCCUAGGCGUCUCUUCAGUCCAAAUCCAUGGUCAUCUGGUGCAUUUGAAAACUGGACUGUCAUAAAGGACAUGCUGAAUGUGCCAGUUCUCUAUAUUAUUGGAGCCUUUAUUCCAGCAACAAUGAUUGCUGUGCUUUAUUAUUUUGACCAUAGUGUGGCAUCUCAGCUUGCUCAGCAGAAAGAGUUCAACUUAAGAAAGCCCCCUUCCUUCCAUUAUGAUUUGCUUCUAUUGGGAUUUAUGGUUAUAAUAUGUGGUCUAAUUGGAAUUCCUCCGUCAAAUGGUGUCAUUCCACAAUCUCCAGUGCAUACCAAAAGUUUAGCUACAUUGAAGCACCAGUUACUUAGAAACCGGCUUGUUGCAACAGCACGAAGUUCUAUGAAAAAGCUAGAAAGCUUGGGACAAGUAUAUGGAAGUAUGCAAGAUUCUUACUGGCAGAUGCAAACCCCUCUAGUUCACCAGGAACCUUCCGCGAAGGGACUUAAAGAGUUGAAAGAGUCAACUAUUCAUUUGGCGUCAAGCAUGGGGAGUAUAAAUGCCCCAGUUGAUGAGUCAGUAUUUGACAUUGUGAAGGAAAUUGAUGACUUAUUGCCUGUUGAGGUCAAAGAAGAACGUGUGAGCAACCUGCUCCAAUCUUUCUGAUGGUAGGAGGAUGUGUAGCAGCAAUGCCUUUCCUGAAAAUUAUUCCAACUUCUGUACUUUGGGGCUAUUUUGCUUUGAUGGCCAUUGAAAACUUACCUGGCAACCAGUUUCGGGAAUGGAUUUUAUUAAUUUUCAUUGCUCCAAGUCGAAGAUACAAAGUCUUGGAGGAGUGCCAUGCAACUUAUGUGGAAACCGUACCAUUCAAGACAAUUGCAGUAUUCACAGCCUUCCAGACUGCUUACUUGCUUGUUUGUUUCGGUAUCACUUGGGUGCCAAUAGCUGGGGUUCUAUUCCCAUUGAUGAUCAUGCUUCUGGUUCCUGUAAGGCAAUACAUUCUGCCCAAGUUUUUCAAAGGAGCACACCUUCAAGAUUUAGAUGCUGCAGAAUAUGAAGUACCUGCUUUACCAUUCAACUUAGUGGCUGAAAGGGACUUGAGCAGGACAGCUUCCUUUGCAGAUUAUGGAGAGGUUUUAGAUGGAAUAGUUACUAGAAGCUGGGGCGAGGUUAAACGUGUUUGCAGUCCAAAGGUGAUGAAAUCCACUCCAAACAUAUCCCAAGAGUUAACAAGUGCAAGGUUCCCAGAUAAAAUAUACAGCCCUCGGAUGAGCCAUCUCAGAGGAAACCAAAGCCCUCGAGGUGUUGGCAGAGGACCAUUUAGCCCUGCAGAAGUUAGGCCAUCCAAUUUGAGGAAAGGUGGUUGAACAAUGAACACUGAUGCAUCCUUUUGUUAGUAAUUAUGCCUAUAAUACAAGGAUUGCCAGCAAAGGUGGCAUGCCCCCCACUCAUUUUAACCUGAUUCUUGACAAAGGCAAUUGCUACAAUAUAAAUAUUCUAGUGCAGGAAUUUGUAACAAGAGUGGUUAAUGUCUAUGAUUAAAAAAGGAAAAAAGUUGUUAAAAUGGUUUAUGUCUAUGAUUUGUUAGUUAAUGCAAUUAUGGAGUCA